rnacentral:rRNA from 1 species
UACGUAGGGUGCGAGCGUUAAUCGGAAUUACUGGGCGUAAAGCGUGCGCAGGCGGUUUUGUAAGCCAGAUGUGAAAUCCCCGGGCUCAACCUGGGAAUGGCAUUUGGGACUGCAAGGCUUGAGUGCGGCAGAGGAGACUGGAAUUCCUGGUGUAGCAGUGAAAUGCGUAGAUAUCAGGAGGAAUACCGAUGGCGAAGGCGGAUCUCUGGGCCAUUACUGACGCUGAGGAGCGAAAGCGUGGGGAGCGAACAGG